AGAGUUUGAUCCUGGCUCAGGAUGAACGCUAGCUACAGGCUUAACACAUGCAAGUCGAGGGGAAACGACAUCGAAAGCUUGCUUUUGAUGGGCGUCGACCGGCGCACGGGUGAGUAACGCGUAUCCAACCUGCCCACCACUUGGGGAUAACCUUGCGAAAGUAAGACUAAUACCCAAUGACGUCUCUAGAAGACAUCUGAAAGAGAUUAAAGAUUUAUCGGUGAUGGAUGGGGAUGCGUCUGAUUAGCUUGUUGGCGGGGUAACGGCCACCGAAGGCGACGAUCGAGUAGGGGUUCUGAGAGGAACGGUCCCCCACGAUUGGAACUGAGACACGGUCCAAACUCCGUACGGAGGGA
rnacentral:rRNA from 1 species